AUUGAACGCUGGCGGCAUGCCUUACACAUGCGAGUCGAACGGCAGCACGGGUGCUUGCACCUGGUGGCGAGUGGCGAACGGGUGAGUAAUACAUCGGAACAUGUCCUGUAGUGGGGGAUAGCCCGGCGAAAGCCGGAUUAAUACCGCAUACGAUCUACGGAUGAAAGCGGGGGACCUUCGGGCCUCGCGCUAUAGGGUUGGCCGAUGGCUGAUUGGCUAGUUGGGGGGGUAAAGGCCUACCAAGGCGACGAUCAGUAGCUGGUCUGAGAGGACGACCAGCCACACUGGGACUGAGACACGGCCCAGACUCCUACGGGAGGCAGCAGUGGGGAAUUUUGGACAAUGGGCGAAAGCCUGAUCCAGCAAUGCCGCGUGUGUGAAGAAGGCCUUCGGGUUGUAAAGCACUUUUGUCCGGAAAGAAAUCCUUGGCCCUAAUACGGUCGGGGGAUGACGGUACCGGAAGAAUAAGCACCGGCUAACUACGUG
rnacentral:rRNA from 1 species